rnacentral:rRNA from 1 species
UACGGGGGGGAGCAAGCGUUGUUCGGAUUUACUGGGCGUAAAGGGCGCGUAGGCGGCCACCGCAAGUCGACUGUGAAAUCUCCGGGCUUAACCCGGAAAGGUCAGCCGAUACUGCGGGGCUAGAGUGCAGAAGGGGCAACUGGAAUUCUCGGUGUAGCGAUGAAAUGCGUAGAUAGUCGAGAGGAACACCUGCGGCGAAGGCGGGUUGCUGGGCUGACACUGACGCUGAUGCGCGAAAGCUAGGGAGCGAACGGG